CAUGACUUUGUACGAUCAAAAUUCUUGUAAAACUUCUAAACCUUGGUAUUAUGUUUAUUUAAAAUAAAAGAAGUAACUUAUUAAAAUAAAUAAAUAAAUAAAUAAGACACUAAGUCCCGUCUGCCGCUCGUCCCCCCCACCCGACACCUUUUAUAAGCUGAGGGCGUUUUCACGAGUCUCAUAGCAUUAGAACAUGUUGUACUUGUUGAUUAGCUCACAUUGUUAUGGCAAUGAACAUGCCCUCCGCUGAUAAAAUAAUGCCAGCGUUUUUUUCAACGGAAAAUUAGCACCCAUGUCAACUUUUUCUGCUCCUUGCACCUUAUCAUGCUUAUCAUGCUACGCAGCAUUACAAGCCCCUGCCGACUAAAACAUGAUGCAAUUCAAGAGAAGGCAUAGAUAGAAUCGCCUGGUGGUCAACUGUCAUUUAAUAGUCAUCUGACAGAUUAUGUUAAGGUUUUAAAAUGAUUAUUAUUAUUAUUAUUAGCUGUUCAUGUUAUAAUACAGCUGGAAAUCGUGGAUUUUCUGAUAAAGACUAGCAAGCCUUUUUGAAAGACAAAAAAGCAGAAACUAUGUUAAAGGUUGGGUAUGGGAUUUGCGAAACGCCAGCCGAUUUUGAAAAUACACAACUCAAAUGGUCCUACCCCCUCUCCUACAACGCUGACUCUGACUCCACCCAUUCCAAGUACAUGGAGUUUUUCGAGCCCUGCCCGUUCCACAGAUGAUUGACUUGUUUAAUUUUCAUGUCAGUACUUCUAACUCAGUGGCUGUAAGUGGGUUAUGAUAAGGAUUUAAGUAAUUUUGCAAAAAUUGCCAAAAAAGAGAAUUCCAUACCCAACCUUUAAGUUUGCUCGUGCUGCCUUUUUGGUUUUGUCAAACAGGAGACGCCCACCCACCAAUCAGAGGUUAGAGAUUCCUGCAGGAAGGUUGCGCUCGAUUUCACUAGCCCAUUUGUGCCUGUUCAUUAGUGUACAGCAUCCAUUCUCUCAUUGCUUGUGUAAAAAAAAAUGGUAGAAUAUUAGAUUUGAGGACGAAAUGAUUGGGUGGGCUAAGGCAAGUUUUGGGUGGGCUUGAGUCCACCCAAAAAUGGUCUAGUUGCGCCACUGUUGGGGACAACGACACCACCACCGCUGCACUUGAGGGGACUGCUGCCGGUGAAAGCCCGCCGACAGCUCAGAGGCCGCUGAUGAAGGUAAUGACACUGACAGCAAGACCCGCAAUGGACUGCGUGAAAACAGCCUCUCCUCACUCCUCUUUGUGGAUCUUAAUGGACCCCCUUUGGAGAGAUUCGACCCAGCACCCUUCAUCACAUCCUGGAUUAAUUCAGGUCAUCGCCUGCCCACAUCAUGGGCUUCUGGACCAACAGCAGGAAGGAAGCUGAUCCCAGGCCUGUGUGGUCGCUUCUGUUUUAAGUUGGAGGCGAUGAAGCGGUCUUGUGCGGUGGCGUUGGUGGAGGCGGUGGGGUGGGCGAACACGGCGUUGAUGUUGGCCAGCAGGGUGCUCAUCACAGCCGGAAGCCCUGACAGCAUGUACUUAGAGGAGAGGCAGGAGAACUGACUGAAGGAGAGAGACGCAGAGAGAGACACAAUGAAUUACUAUGGUGCAGCGAGACAGACACAUUGGAAGGCGUUUGUUUCCGUUGCCUUUUGUGUGUAUUGAAUUGCUUUGAAUGAAUCUCAAUAUCUAUAUAUUGUGUUAGUUUGUUUUCAGUAUUUAAGGAUUUUUACCACCCCAUGCUACCUUAACACCCUGCAACAAAUCCAAACGACACACAUCACCAUGGAAUAACCCCAUCCUAUCUAUAAUGAACUCUUAGGUCAAUGCUUGGUAGAGGUUAGGAUUGGGUCAGGGUUCAUAGGUCAUGGCUUGGUAUGGGGUUAGGUUAGGGUUGGGUCAGGGUUCAUAGGUCAUGGCUUUGUUUGGGGUUGAGUUUGGGUUAAGUUAGGUUUGGGUUUGGGUUAUUAGUUCAUGGCUUGGUAGAGGUUAGGGUUGGGUGAGUGUUCUUACAUCAUGGCCUGGUAGAGGUUAGGGUUAGGUUAGGGUUAGGGUUGGGUUAGGGUUCUUACGUCAUGGCCUGGUAGAUAGACUCGAUGCCGUAGCGCAUGGCGAACUCAUCCACGAUGUCCUGCUGCAGCUCGUCGAAGUACACCUUCCAGGCAUCGUCCCCGCGGGCGGCCGGGACCUUCACCACGCCGCCGCCCUCCACGUACGUUGAGUACUGGAAAAUGCUCUGACGGGGAAAUCACUCUCUGGGUCAUGAGCAUGUCAUGGAAGACCAAUUCUUGGAUGAAAAAAACUAUAUUGAUAAAGGUUACAUGUGUGUCUACGGGGUGUAUGUGUGGUAAAGGUUACAUGGGGCAGGGACAGGUGUGCUGUGUCUGUGUACGUCAUGUAAACAGGUGCACUCACUGUACACACGUUGUGGAGACUGUGCUGUAUGUACCUCAUGUAAACAGGUGUACUGUACAUAGGUUGUAUAGACUGUGCUGUGUGUACCUCAUGUAAACAGGUGUACUGUACAUAGGUUGUAUAGACUGUGCUGUGUGUACCUCAUGUAAACAGGUGUACUGUACAUAGGUUGUAUAGACUGUGCUGUGUGUACCUCAUGUAAACAGGUGUACUGUACAUAGGUUGUAUAGACUGUGCUGUGUGUACCUCAUGUAAACAGGUGUACUGUACAUAGGUUGUAUAGACUGUGCUGUGUGUACCUCAUGUAAACAGGUGUACUGUACAUAGGUUGUAUAGACUGUGCUGUGUGUACCUCAUGUAAACAGGUGUACUGUACAUAGGUUGUAUAGACUGUGCUGUGUGUACCUCAUGUAAACAGGUGUACUGUACAUAGGUUGUAUAGACUGUGCUGUGUGUACCUCAUGUAAACAGGUGUACUGUACAUAGGUUGUAUAGACUGUGCUGUGUGUACCUCAUGUAAACAGGUGUACUGUUCGUGGUAUGGAGCCACUGUCUUCUCCCCAUCAACCUCCAUGCUGAUCUGCAGACGGAUCGCCCCAGACACGGCUGACCGGUCGGUCCUCUUCUCUGUGGGGAGAUAGAAGGGGAUGAUAGUUACUACACAUUAGGGGCGUCCUGCAAGUAGUUAUAUAGUUAUUGUUCUUUGAGUUAUAGGACCCUAUCCAGCACCCAGCGCAAUUGACUUUCUACACCGACGCAUGUAUCGUUGCUAUUUCGCAACCGGUGCAAAGCUGAUUUUCCCCCGCAGCAAACUCGCGCCACUGAACUUGCGCCCUGAGAAGCGUGUCAGCGAAAAGCAGAGGCGUGUUCCAGCGCAAAUGAUACAUGGUGCUAUCUUACAGAUCGAUAAAGCAGUUGCGCAACUGACCGAAAAAUACCUGGUCUAAGUGCACUAGCGGAUAGUGCAGUAUGUGUUGCUAUUUUGACGUACCGUGGCAGGUCGGAACUGCAACGUUAGCUUACACACCAGUAGGCUAUUCACAAUACACAAUAUGGCCUAAUUCACACAUGGAAUAGCGAAUUCUUCUACAACUUCCGAAAUACUAAGUCGUCAUGUAAAUUGCAACAAAAAAACACCCUAACCCUAACCCUUUGGUGAUUUUCCAUCAUUCGAAUACCUUUGUGCUGUAUUAAAAGGCUCCCCCAGA